rnacentral:lncRNA from 1 species
GGUGCUUAGACACUUCUCUCUUGUAGAGCGGCCCCUUCCUAUAUGAUGCUGGAGAAGGCAUCCUGAUGACCCUGUGACAUCUGUCCACCUCGGUGCUCAAGACCCGAGCGCAAUGUCCCAGACCCAGGACUAUGAAUGUAGAAGCCAUCAUGUUGACGGGCAGGAGUCCAGGAUCCCAGGAUCCAGCACCAGGUAAGGAAGCGCUGUGUACACCUGAGCAUUCCUGGCCUCAGGUGAGUGGGAAGGAAGGGUUCUUGGGGAGGUGGGUGCAGGACUCCAGGGGGGUCAUGCUCAUUCUCCGGGUCCUGAGCACCUGCACAGCUCCUCACAAGGCUUUGCCAUGGCUGACCUGUGCCUGCCUGUGGGAGUCCUGCUUUAUCCACCACAGCCUCUCACUGCUGCCUUGUCCACUACAGAGGCCACAUGCCCCACGUGGGAGCCCCUGUGCUCAGCAUGGUUCCCCAGGCCUUUCUGUAGGCAUUGGUCCACAUAGACGCAAUAGCCUUAGUACAUUAUUUUCAUUUUCCUAAUUUUCAGCUUUUUAUUAGGAAAUAUUGCACGCUUACCGAAAAGUUACAAGAAUAAGAACAAUCUGGGGAACACUCAUGUGCCCUGGCCCCACAUCACCUGCUCUUAGUAUUAAUUGCUCAAUCCCUUUUUCUGAGUCAUUCUGGAGCAGGUCCAUUUCUUAGGCCCCUGGCCCUUGAGUGUGUGUCCCCUAGAUAACCUGCCCUUGAGCCAGGACCCUUGCCAGGAUGAGCAGAUGUGCUGUUGACACACGGUCUGAUUUCCCCUGCUGUCAGCCCUGUGCCAGCCGAUUCUCUCUGUCCGUGGCAGCACUCCCUGACCCUGUGCAGUGCAGGGUUCCUUGAUGGAUUUUCUUCUGGCUUCUGUGUCUUUAGACUUUUCUGACCUGCAUGAUUUCUACAGCCUCUCCCUGUCUUUUGUGACCCAAACCCUUUUAAACAUGAUUGUCAUCCAUUCUUAAAUAGAACAUUCAAUAAGAGAGGUAGGGUUACAAAUUAAUCUAUAAGGUAUACUCAGCAGGACCUCAUUUACCUACUUGGUUUCUGUUUGUAAGAACUGUUGGUGAGGCUAGGGUUGUAGCUCAGUGGUUGCACUCACCUAGCAUGUGCGAGGCCCUGGGUUCAAUCUUCAGCACCAUAUAAAAGUAAGUAAAUAAAAUAAAGUCAUUGUGUCCAACUAUACUUACAAAAUGAUAAAUAUUAAAAAAAAAAAAAAAAAAAAAAAAGAAGAAGAAGAAAAAGAAGAGCUACUGUUGGUGUGGUUUCCAACUUUCCCCUCAUUCCUAUACAAAUGCAGUCCCAGCAUUUGUCUAAGAGAGGCUGAGGUAGGAGGAUCACAAGUUCAAGGCCAGCUUCAGCGAGUUAGCAAGACCCUGUCUCAAUAAAAAAAUAAAAAGUGGUAUGGAUGUCAGUGGAUAAGCGCUUCUGGGUUCAAUCCAAUCCCAAGUACCAAAAAAAAAAAAAAAAAAAAAGUCUCUGUGCUCCCCACGCAGUCCCUAGCAACUUCCUGUAAGUCAUUGCCUCUCACCAUCACAACUGUCCUCCAUUACUGCAGCUUCCCAGGCCAGUGUUGUGUGUUUCCCAGAAUCUGUUCCGCUGGGCCUGUGCAGUCACAUGCGCUGCUGCAGAAGCAGCCUGUUCCUGUGUAGCAUUGCUCCUUUUGGAGAUGGAUCUUCUGGUGAACUUCUGACGAGGAACACCUGUGAAGUAUGGUGCUGCCACGGCCCACAUAGGGCCUGUGCACUGCACCUGCCAGUCCACCAUGCCUCCCACAGGCAGCUCUGCUGGGGCCUCUGCUGGUAGCAUCUCAUGACUGACGAGGCCGGCAGAGAGGUACUGUGUAUCACGCUUCACCCUGUGCCAUACUCUUUUUCUCCUUUUCCUGUGGAGUUUUUAUUUGUCUGUGCUCUGUUCUGUAUACCAAGGAUUUGAGCCCUUUAUAAUUCAUAUUACAUAUGCCCCACUAAUUUGUCCAAAAAGCAGAAUCUUUUCUGCUUUACUCAUGGCAUUUUUUUCUUGUGUAGUUCUUAUGCAGCUGAACGGGCCAGAUUCAUCUUCCAGCGUGUCUGGAGUUUUAGUCCCCUCCAUCCCGACAUUGGGUUACGGUAUGUUUGGUGGUGGUGCUGGCAGUUCUGUUUGGGGGGGGUGGUCCUGGGGUUGAACCUAGGGCCCUGUGGUCCAAGGAGGCAUGUACUCCACACUGAGCUGCCCUGACCCCAGAGUUCCAUUUUUGCCCUUAUGUCUUAGAUCCAUUUGGGUUUAACCUUGAGUGAGGUGUGGACCCGGCUCUUUGUUUUCCAAACUGCUGCAGCUAUCCCAGCAUCAUGAUUAAAGACUGCCUUUCCUUGACCUGAGACCUCCACAUCCUCUGACCACUUCCUGGGUGUCUUUGAGGAGCUGGGGCUGCUUAAGCUCCUGUGUGACUCUGUUGACCUCUGUCAUGUGCAGGCUUCACUACCUGAUGGAGGCAGUUCCCGAUAGCACAGUGGGGUCUGGCACAGUUCCUCAGUGAGCUGGUCUUCCUGUGUAGUGCCCCACAUUCCCCUUAUGCUGCAGAGGGCCAGGCAGGUCAGCAGUGGCUGAUGGUGUUUUGGCUAUUUUUCCUUUUGUGUGUUUGUGCUGGGGAUGGAACUGAGAGCGUCACACACACUAAGCCUGCCUUCUAUCACAGAGCCACACCCACCCCCAAGCGUGGUGUGUCUCUUUAUCAUUGUAUUGCAAAAGUUCUUCUUUGUUGUGUUGUUUGUUUAUUUUGGUACUGGUGCUCAAACCCAGGAGAGCUCUACUACUGAGCCACAUCCCUAGCUCUUUUGAUUUUUUUUCAUUUCAGGGCCUCACUGAUUUGCUGAGGCUGGUCUUGAAUUUGCAAUCCUCCUCAGCCUCCUGAGUUGCUGGGACUACAGGUGUGCACCACCAGGCCUGGCUGCACAUGUGAUUUCAAUGCUUUGGAUCUGAGUCCUUGUCACAGAUACCGUCUGUAGCGCGUGUGCACUCCUGGUGCAUGGCUGUAUUCAUGUGGUGGUGGUGGUGGUCUGUGCUGGAGGCUCAUCUCUGUUGAGUUCAGUACCUCUGCUGCUUCUCUUGCUGCUCAUGUUUUGGGUGUCGUCGUCUAAUCCAGUACCAGCCCCAAGGUCAUGAAAAUGUACCCUCUUGUAAGCUUUAUGAUUUUAGCUAUUCUGUUGCAUCCUUGACCCAGUCUUCACUCUUUUGUGUGUGGCCUAAAGUGGGGUUACCUUCGCUUUCCUGCAGGGGUGUCUGCCUGUCCCAGCACUGUUGCUGAGACUCUCCUUUCCCCUGUCAAGGGGUCUUGACACUGCAUUGUUGGAGUCUGGGGAGCAGGGAAUGUGCCUGUCUCACCUGGUAAAUUUUGCCUGAUAUGUAUUUGGCGUUCACUGAAGUCAUUCUGGAAACAUUUGUCUAGACAGAUCAUUGUCUGAAAGUAGACAUCUCCAGAACAGGAGCAUUGUGAAGGGUCCUUUUGCAUCAGCACCCAAGGGAUUGCUGGAGAGGACCUGUUUCCUGCUGUCCUGUAGGGGCCUUUGUUUCUGCUGUCCUGUAGGACCCAGGGAUUGCUGCUUCUCUUACCCUUCCACCUUCCUUACCAGAUGAUUUUUUCCCUGUGCAGUUCAUCAUAAAUAUUCUUCUCACCAAAUAAGUCUUCUCAAACACUGCUCAGAUUAGGGCAGCAGGAGACUACCAAACUUCAGCCAUUUCCCACUUACAGGGUCCAGUCCCCACUGGUGGUGAAGCCCCGAAACUCCUUGGGCAGUUCCACAGCUGCCAGUUACGCUCUCCUCACCUGCUUAGUUUGGCACAGUUUAUCUGUCACCACCUACUGACAAAGCUCUUUCUCUGUGCAGUCCCCUUGACCUGGGGGACUGGCAGCCCCCACUGACCCGAUGCUCAACUGGACCAGACUACAGCCCCAGGACAGGAUGCGUGUUCUUCAAUCCAUAGUGCUGAUACCCCCCUUGCCCAUGAGGAGAGAUGAGCAAUCCCAGACCACAACCUGCACAUGCCACAACCACCAGCUGUGUCCCGCCCUAUCCUUAAGGUCCAGCUCCAGCCAGAGUUCCUGGAGCCUCCCCAGACUUGGUACCCCUCUGAGUUCUGAAGUCCCUUGCCUUGGAUGUCUGUGGGUCCUGCCCAUACCUGUCUGGGCAGUGACUCCCUGGGGCCCAGUGUUCUCUACACUUUUGCCUGCCUCUGUUUUCUCAGGAUCCUGGCUGAAUGCCAUCCCCAGGAGAUACCAAGAAUGUGCCUUUGAAAAGCCGGCUCUUGCCACUUGUGCAAGGAAUGCACUAAAAAGGGAACAAAACCUGUUCUCUGUCAAGUCAUGGUUAGUGCAUUAUAUUCACGUUUUAAAGAAAAAUAAGAAUUGUUAUUGCUGCUUUUAAGACUCAGAAUGUCAGUAGUGUGCUUUGAAAGCUUCUCUGUAUUCAGAUUCUCUGGGGAGUAUCCCAACUUUGUUCUGAUAAAAUCUACCACUGGCUAGGAGAGAAAGUGAGAGUAGCAGCCUCAAGGAGUGAAGUGGGACCAUGUGGGCAGCCCCUGCCAGCAUCCCAGGGCCAAGGGACACUGAGCCCAGGCAGUGGCAUUGAAUCUUAUCACAUUCACCCUUGAUCUGUCAUUGGUGUGCUCCCCAAGUUCUGGCCCCAGACCCUACACAGUGCUGCCAAAACCCUUGCCUCGCCUUCCCCGCCCCCUCCUCUGUCACCUUCUUUCCUGGAAAUGCUCCACCCAUCUAUCUGGAAGCUUCCGCCUUGCUCCCUUCAAACUAGCCAGGAGAACCUGGUCACCAAGUCUGGUCGGGCAGCAAGAACCUGGUCCUUCGAGUCUCUGCCGCAGGCACCCCAGCCUCCACCACGUCUGUCUUUACAUCACUGUCAGUGAAUCUGUCUUCUUGGAAGCCCCAGCAGACCUGCUGGGUGUUCUUUGGUCACAAUUGUCACUGCCCACCUGGGUCUGCGCUGACAGAGACAGGAUUCGACUAUCUUCCAGGAUGCAGCGUCUGCAGGGGAGGCUUGAGACCAUAUGCCUCUGGCCACAGCUGCAGCAGGGCUGUGGUCAUGGCAGCCCAUGGAUAUCCCUGGAAAUGAAGGGACCCCUUCAGUGUACCCUGAGACUCUACACAAUGAUCACUUCUGCCUCAGUCAUUGGCAGAAGUUGGCCUUAUGGUUGCUAGUGGACAGAAACUCAAAGACCUACAAAGGCAACUAAAGGCCACUCAAAUUACUGUGAUGGUCACAGGAGAUGGCCAAUCCCCAUGCACUUUUGGUUGCAUUAUUUAUUUAUUUUUGGUACCAGGGAUUGAAUUCAAAGGCAGUUGGUCACUGAGCCACAUCCCCAGCCCUAUUUUGUAUUUUAUUAGAGGCAGGGUCUCACUGAGUUGCUUAGUACCUCACUUGGUGGCAUCUUUUGCCAUUGACCUGUCUUCACAGCCAGGAAGCUCUCUCCCAGCCCACAUUGCUCUGCGUUCUGCAGUAUGGCCAGUGAGAAAGGCCCACAGUUGCCUCCCUGUGCAGCCAGGGGGCUGAAGGGUUAGCACUCAGUGUAUGGGUCAGGACCCUGGGAGUGGUGGCACUCAUGUUGGGUGAAUGUGCUGCAAAUUCAGUCAGCGGCCAGGUAACCAGAAGCAGGGGCCAGUCUCUAAGGCAAGAGUGACACAUGUGUGCCUUGCAUAUGUGGAGCUUCAGUGUGUUUUGGCUUCUGAGGGGUCAUGCUCCUCUGCCUGCCACGCAUCUCUCUCAGCCUCCCGAGUCUUUUGGAGGAGCGGGCUUGACAGCCCUACCCCUCAGGCAUCUGGAUGCACCUGGGUCCUUAAAUCUCCCUCAGAGGCAUCAGCAGGUCUGAGUUCAUCUUGGAUGUCUCCACCGUUGGCCACAGGGGAGGACACAGCUUUAGGACUGCAAAGCCACAGUCCCAGCCCUCACAUGAGCGUGUGCAUGCCAUCCUGGCCCUAUGCUCUGGCUGCUCCCAGGGUCCUCCCUGCCUCUGGUGCACAGGAGCCCUGUGGGCUGUCCUGGCUCCUGAGUUCCACCUGACCUGGGGCGGUACAGGUGCUUCAGGUGCCUGUCAGAAGAGGAGGGGUCUUCCUGGGAGGCUCCCACAGCCGUGCUCCUUGUCUCUGUCCCAACAGCAAGGGGACACAGCCCAUGUAGCCCCUACCCUAGGUACGAAAUGAGGCAGACUGUCCUCGAUGUGUAAUCUGCAGGAUGUAAAAUUAACAUUUUAAAGUAUGGACAUUGCUUGCUUUUUAAAAAUUAUCCUUUUAUUUGAAGAAUGUUAGGUUGAGUGGCAUUUGCCAAUGUAGUGCUAGGGGCAUUUUAAAAUUUUUAUCUCUUUUUAGUUGCAGAUGGACACAAUACCUUUAUUUUGUUUGUUUAUUUAUUUAUUUAUUUGUUUUUAAAUAUUUAUUUUUUAGUUAUAGGUGGACACAAUAUCUUUGUUUUUUAUUUUUUUAUUUUUAUGUGGUGUUGAGGAUUGAACCCAGUGCCUCACGCGUACUGGGCGAGUGCUCUACCUCUGAGCCACAACCCCAGCCCCUGUUUGUUUAUUUUUAUAUGGUGCUGAGGAUCAAACCCAAUGCCUCACACAUGCUUGGUUAGCACUCUACCACUGAUCCAUAACCCCAGCCCCGCCAGGGGCCUUUUGGCCCCCUGCACCAGCUCUGAUGGCUGUGACUUUGUGGGUGUGUGGCAGACUCCUAGCCCACACUGGUCUGUCGUCCUCAGCUGAAAUCUGCGCCUCUAUUCAGUAUUCCUUCCUAGUUCUCACCUAAAGUCCCUCCUGUCUUCAGAUCCCAUCUGGCAUGUGUUCACCGUGUCUCCUUGAUCUCCACUGGACUGAGAGGGUUCAUUAGGCCUUCCUGGGUUUUGUUUUUGUUUUAAUACUGUGGAUUGAACCCAGGAGCUCUCUACCACUGAGCUACACCCCCAGCCCUUUUUAUUUUUUUUCUUUUGACACAGAGUCCCACUAAGUUGCUGAGGCUAGCCUCCAACGUGAGAUCCUCUUGCUUCAGCUUCCCAAGUCGCUGGGAUUACGGGGUGGGCUACUGUGCCCGGGUAGACUUUCCCAGUGUUUCAUGACUUUGACAGUUUUGAGGAGGACUGUCCAGGUAUUUUGCAGAAUGUCCCUCCGUUUGAAUUUGUCUGAUGUUUUUCUUGGGGAGGAUGGCCCCACUGUGUCAAGAGCUCAGUUGUCAACAGGCUUGUCACCGUUGACACCAGUGUUGAUGUGCUGGUGAGGUUGUGCUGUCCGAGGUCCUCUGAAAGGCUCCUUCGCCUCUCUGUCAUGCUCCUCAGAGGAAGCCCACAACUCGGGUGGGGACUGUGUGUGGGCUCCCUGAGGGGAGGACGGGCCUCCCCUCCUCCUGCAAGUUACUGGGACUUCUCUGGGGAGUUGUCUGCCUCCAUCUGAACACUGACACUGAUCCAACUCUUGCAUCCCGUGAACUGUCCUGUGUCCUGGCUCUGAUCACUGGGGCUCCUGUGACCUGGGACGUACCCCUUCUUUGGGGUCAAGGCCCCUUUGUAUUCCCUGCCCCGGGCCUGGAAUUUGCCACUUCUCUGAGGAGCCCUGCCCUGGGUGAGAGAAACCUGGACUCUGGGCUGUGGUCCAGUCUCCUUGCUCAAGCCUCUGCUGCCUAAAGCCAUCUGUUCCCUUGACUGUGCCCCUCAGAGGCUUGCAGAGUUGAGUGUGCAUCCAAAAGCGCCUGGCAGAGCAGCCUGGUUUUCAUCUCAGUGAGGUGUGAGCAUUCCUAGGGGCUAACCUGCUCUUUGCUGAGAGUGGCAGUGGAUUCUCCUCAGGGGAUAUAGCUAGGCUUGGGUGUCGCCACCAACCUGAGUGCCAUCCUUGCUGGCUGGUGUUUUCACCCUGGAUGGGGUUCACCGGUGGGCUUCCAGGCACUUGUGCUCUGCCCCACCUGGCCUUGCAGCCACGCAGGCCUCCUGUGGCUCCUCCACCCCUGUCCACGCAGGCCCUCCUCUUGGCUGCUAGGGAAGGGUCAGGGCUGCCGAUGUGGGAAGGUGAGGUUUCUUCUUCUGUCCUAUGGUCAAUUUUGUGGACUGGUCCUGCCAGCUGGGACCUGCCACCAUCAUUGUCAGCUUUGUUUGCUCAUGAACCUCACAGGGAGCCCCACCUCAUGCCGUGCCCAGUUCCUCAGAUCGUGCAUUGUGGGCUGAUGUGCUGGGUAUGGGCGCCUGGAUGGCCCCUGCUUGUCCCAGGUGUUCUGCUGCUGUGAGCAUGAGUGCCAUGUCUGCGGGUUUCUGCCAGGGCUUCAGCUUAAGGAGCAGGGCCAUCUGUGCCUAUUCACCUUCACAUGGAGCACAGAGCCCCAGGUCUGUGCUGUGGGCAUUUGGGCCUCUUUGGUGGGGCCAUCCUUGUGUUUACAGUGCCCUUCUGUAUGAUUCUGCAUUUUCCUGAGUUCUCUCAUUCCCUGAUGGUGAUGAGUGCCUUCUACCAUAAUGUGCAUGCAGUAUUUGGUGCUACUUUGCUGUUUGGGGAAGUUGCUAAGUUGCUGGGGUUUUGUUAAGUUACCCAGGCUGGCCUUAAGCUUACAAUCCUGACCCAGCCUCCUGGGUCACUGGGAUUAGAAGCAUGUGCCAUUGCUCCAGUCCGCCUGGCUUUUGGUCAUCUUCACCUUCUGCAUGCUUGGCUAGGAUUUUUAUUGGAUUUCAAUCCUUAUAAAGGUGAGCAGAGGUGUCAGCCACUGUGGUCUUUCUAGGGGACCCUGUCAGGAAUGAUGUGUGCCAUCCUCGGGGUAGACUCUUUCCCUGGUUCUUUCCAUGGGUUUUAUCUGGGCCCCUUCCUGUGGCAGGCUCCGAGUCUUCCUCCAGCCUGCAGGUCAGUGCUGUGCUGGGCUUCUGGAGUGAGCUCAGUGUGAGGGAGUUUGUGUCACUGGGGCAUCCAUGGCAUCCGUGUCAAUGACAGUUUUGUGGCCACUACUCUCUGUUGAUGGAGCAAUGCUUGUGGCCUAGAAAACCCCUGCCCCUGUGCCCUAGGGUGAGGGUCCCCAUAGCCACAAGUCUGUAAGGAAAGCUCUGAGAUGACCCUGAGCUUGGUUAUUGAGGUGGGGCUGGGUUAUUGAGGUGGCGCUCUGAGUUUCUAGGGAGAGCUCCAUCUCCCAAGUUGUGGCUGAAAGACAUGCAUGGUGCCCUGCAGGGGGGCCAGGACCUUGGGGAGGCAGGGGUGGUUCGAGCAGUGGGCAGGGCCAGUGUGAGUUUUCAGCAGUGUGUGAGCCAUUAUGCAGGCUGGAGGGGUGGGAGGAAGGAAGACCCAUCGUGGUCACAUUUGGGUGCCAGGUUUGAUCUGGUCACAAUCUCAAGGGCAUGGCUGUGCUGUACGGUGCAGGCUUCAGGAAGAGGGGCACCCACCCACCCUUCUUCCGAACACACUGACUGUGGCCAUUUUUCUUUAUUUGUGUGAUACUUGGAUCUUUUUUCCUGGGUAAAGUGGGCUGUGUAGGGGCCCAAGAGAAUGCAGAUUUAAGACUUGAGGUGUGUCCUGGGAGAGGCACAGCCAGCAACGUCCUUGGGCUGGUGCCACUUGAAGCCCCAGCCUUCCCUCCACACAGUGCUAAGCUGCAGAGGGAAGAAGAGAAGGUGGGUCCCUUUUCCAGCUAUGGGAGGUCUCACAUUUGUGUUGCAAGAUGAGGGGAAGGUUUCCGGGGAGGAUCACUGGAACAGGUGGGCACAGGACCACACAGAGCAGCACAGCUGCAGUGUGACUUUAGAGGGAGUAGGAUCAUUCAGACUGGUUGUGUGGAGCCAGGUGCUGGGAUACCCAACCUCACCCUGGGUGCCAUGGCAUGCUGAGUGCUCCAUGGAGUUGUUCACUGGCUGUGGAUGCAGAGAAGGAAGGGAGCCAGGGAGCUGUGGUGCUGGCCAGAAGUGGUGAGAGUCUCUGCUGUGCUGUGAGUGGGGGUGGAGGUGUACAGAGAGGUGCAGAUUGAGGGACUAAACCACAGAACCAGGCAAGGCCCAGAGACAGACCGCCGGCACAGAGCAUCUGAGGCUGGAACAAGCACCAGCAGCUGGCCAGUGCCAAUGGAGUAUGCUGAUGCCUGUCAGUGCUCGCGCCCUAGACCUAGCCCACAAACGAGAGGGACCUGGGGAUGACCAGUGCUCCCUGCACCAGUCAGUAGGCUGAGGGAAGAUCCCACACAGGUACCCAAGGUUGUGAAUGGAAUUCAAGGACCAAUUCUAAGAUUCAUAAAGAGAGAAGUGUUAUGAAUAGCCAAGGGCUGGGUGUGAUGGUGACCCCUGUGAUCCCAGAGACUUGGGAGGAUAGGGCAGGAGGAUACAAAUUCAAGGCCAUCGAGGGCGAUUUAACGAGAUCCUUUCUUAACAUGAAAAGGGAUGGAGGAUUUAGCUCAGUGAUCAAGCACCCUGGGGUUCAAGCAGUACCACAGACAUAAUUUUUUUUAAAUAUUUUUUUNNNNNNNNNNNNNNNNNNNNNNNNNNNNNNNNNNNNNNNNNNNNNNNNNNNNNNNNNNNNNNNNNNNNNNNNNNNNNNNNNNNNNNNNNNNNNNNNNNNNNNNNNNNNNNNNNNNNNNNNNNNNNNNNNNNNNNNNNNNNNNNNNNNNNNNNNNNNNNNNNNNNNNNNNNNNNNNNNNNNNNNNNNNNNNNNNNNNNNNNNNNNNNNNNNNNNNNNNNNNNNNNNNNNNNNNNNNNNNNNNNNNNNNNNNNNNNNNNNNNNNNNNNNNNNNNNNNNNNNNNNNNNNNNNNNNNNNNNNNNNNNNNNNNNNNNNNNNNNNNNNNNNNNNNNNNNNNNNNNNNNNNNNNNNNNNNNNNNNNNNNNNNNNNNNNNNNNNNNNNNNNNNNNNNNNNNNNNNNNNNNNNNNNNNNNNNNNNNNNNNNNNNNNNNNNNNNNNNNNNNNNNNNNNNNNNNNNNNNNNNNNNNNNNNNNNNNNNNNNNNNNNNNNNNNNNNNNNNNNNNNNNNNNNNNNNNNNNNNNNNNNNNNNNNNNNNNNNNNNNNNNNNNNNNNNNNNNNNNNNNNNNNNNNNNNNNNNNNNNNNNNNNNNNNNNNNNNNNNNNNNNNNNNNNNNNNNNNNNNNNNNNNNNNNNNNNNNNNNNNNNNNNNNNAAGAGACAGCCUGGUGCCUUCCUCAGUAUCAAAACAAAACAGAUUCAGGGCUGCUGCCUGAGGCUUGGACAGGCAGCAGUGACAGCUAUGCACCUUUCUGCCCCCCAGUUAAGUUCUUUGCUUCUUCCCAUGUGGCAUCAGGGCUUAUAGGUGCAGGAUCCACCUGCAGCAGCAUUACUUCCCAGGAAGGCAGAUGCAAAUGCAGACAUUUGUCUGUUUUCUGAGCAGCCCUAUCCCUGGACUGGUUCCACAGUCAUUGGAGAAAGACCAUGGAUGUGAUGAAGGUCCCCUUACUCUGGGCCACCAUAGGGUCAGUGAGUGAGGGAUGAUGGAGGAACCAGCCAGGCAGAGGCAGUGUCCCCACAGAGAGGCAUUCCAAGGCUGUAGAGGGUUAUUCUUUCCAUGUAGAAACUUGGAAGCAGCUUAAAAAUGCCAGAUGUCACCCAAGCACACCCUGACUUCAAACACACCUGUUUUCAAAUGGUCUUGUCUGAUGCUUUAAUUUCCAUUAUUCACAGGUUAUCUUUUUAAUUAGAAAAAAACAUUAUAAGGCUGGAGGCUGAGCUCCCCAGUAGAAAGCCCCCACCCACCCCACCCCACUGUGUAGAAGUGGUGGUGUUCCUGCUCAGCGAAAGGUCACCUGGGACUGGUGGGCUUGGGAUGGCUUUGAGAGUGGGGUCCUCACUCUCACCCGUGUCCCCACAGGCUGGAGUGGGUGGAGAUCAUCGAGCCACGUACCCGGGAGCGCAUGUAUGCCAACCUGGUUACCGGCGAGUGCGUGUGGGACCCUCCGGCCGGAGUACGCAUCAAACGCACCAGCGAGGACCAGUGGUGGGAGCUCUUUGACCCCAACACAUCGCGCUUCUACUACUACAGUGCCGCCUCGCAGCGCACUGUGUGGCACCGCCCGCAGAACUGCGACAUCAUCCCGCUGGCCAAGCUGCAGACGCUGAAGCAGAACACAGAGUCCCCUCGUGCCUCGGCUGAUAGCAGUCCUGGCCGUGGCAGCCGCGAUGGCAGCACUGGCUCCUCACUGGAGCCCGAGCUUGAAGCCACGGAGAGGGCACAGGAACUGCCCACAAGGGCAGGGAGGCCCGCAGCACUGGGGACCCCAAAGGAGGAGAGUGGCAGGUGAGGAGGGUCGGGGCUGGCCGGCGCUGGGUGGUCCCCCUGGGAGGGGGUGGCGUGGGGCCUGAAUGUGGCUGCCUGGCCGCAGCUCCUGCCUCCUGGCUCUCCACUUGUGAACGGUAAUGAGGGCUUGGGGUUUCUGGCGGGUGAGGGGAUGGCUGUGACCCAGCUGAUGCACAUUCUGGCUCCUUCCUCCCCAUUUUGCUCAGGACCUGCUCUUUGUUGACACUGUCCUUAGUCACCUGGAUUCCUAGAUCCAGGAGCUCAUUAGAGAAACAGAACCUGCUAGGCCCAGAAAUCCUGGUGAGCUGUCAGGAGGGCCCUCCAGUGGGUAUUUUCCUGGCUAAUAGAGUCAUGACUUUGGUACUUGACUUCUGUUUGUUGGAGGGUUGCCCUUCCUUGGCAUAGCCUGGGGACUGAUUCUCCUGAAUCCCCCAGGAGGGGGCUGCUGCUGUUAUUCUCAUUGUACAAGUGAAGAAACAGGUAGCUCAGGUGCAGGACCUUACUUGCAUUGUCAGGCAGAUUGAUCUGCAGUGGGAGCCUGUGGUCAGGGUCCCCCAGCUACAGAGGCCACCAGGUGUGUGUCUGCUUGGUCACAGACAUUUUUGUUUUAUGCCUCAUCGGGAGCAGUUUCUUGUGUUGUGCAUCCAGCCGCUGGCCUUUUCUUCUUCGGGGCUGACCCUCCGUCAGUCCCUUUCAGGUGUGAUGUUCAUGUAUAGAGUUUGGAUUUUGUUUUGCAUGUUCCAUGCCUCUGCACGAUGUGCUGGGUCUGCUUCUCACUCUGAACACAGGGAGCACAUGGAACCAGCUCUUGCUGCCCUUCACCGCGGACUCCCCUGUCCUUGUCAUUCUGGCUCAGCUUAUCCCUGGUUGGUUGUUGUGAGCAGGAACAGGGUCCCUGAGGGUAAACACAGCAGAUGAGAGGGUGAGCAGCCCCAGCAGGGCAUAUGGCAUCCUAAGGGAACAGCAGGGUGAUGAGACUGCUGUUCUUCAUAGACAGAGGUGCUGCCAGACUUGGACCUGGAUUGCACAUACACGAUUUUAAUUGAGCAUAUUUGUCACUUGGCAUUUACCAGAUCCUGUUAGAUUGUUCUCCUGGUGUGUGUCUUUUAUCAGGCAGUGCCUUGCAGGUUGGUCACACCUGACUGAAGGUUAGGCAGAAGCUCCUCAACUGCAGUCAAGUAGGUCUUGAAACAGAAGUUUCCGUUAUGCUUGCACAUGCAUCAGAGUCAGAAAGAUUCUGCUGGGACUAUAGCUUCAGCUUGGAAAACACCUGCUACACAUGCGUGUGGGAAUGGGUCAUGCCUCUGGUAAUGUUCACAGGGUGGUAUGUGGAUAAAGCAGCUCAACGUUGCUUGUGACUGAGACAUUAGUUGUCUUUGCAGUGACUGCUGUAGUGUGUUUCACAGGCUGUCACCAUUUGCCUUGUGAUUUUAGGCUGAAUUCAUUAAGAAACGUUACCAAGAGUCUGCAACAAAAACUAAUCUCCAAAGCCACUCACAGUGUUUAAUAGUGAUCAAAAGAAGUUUUUCACAUUCAGAAAAUUUGACUCAACCCUGAGUUUUUAAAAAAAAAAAUCAUAAUAAAAUAUGUGGCUCCCUGGCUGCUGGGUUGCUGUGUGACAGGAUGUUCAGCUGCUGUCUUUGACCAAAAUAUCCAUGGUACUUAUGAUGGCCAAGUCCAGGGGAUUGGCUUAUGAUGGAUUCAAGUGUUUUCUGCAAAGUACCUACGAAUGGACAGCAAGUAACCCUAGGCUUAUGUUAUCACAAGCUUUGUAAGUGGCCAGCCAAGCCUUUGCCUGGGCCACAUAUGCUCCCAGCACAAUAAUUUGUGACUCCACUUAAUCUCCAGGUGUGCCAAAUUAAUGUUUUCUCAGGUAAUUUUAAGACAGGACCUCCUGAAGUUUCCCAGGCUGGCCUCAAACUUGUGAUCAAUCCUCCUGCCUCAACCUCCCAUUGUCACUGGGACACCACCACACCUGACAUCCCCAGCCCUUUUUAUCUUUUUAUAUUUAUUUAUUUAUUUAUUUUCGUGCCAGGGAUCGAACUCUAGGGCACUCGACCACUGAACCACAUCCUCAGCCCUAUUUUAUAUUUUAUUCAGAGACAGGGUCUCACUGAGUUGCUUAGCGCCUCACUUUUGCUGAGGCUGGCUUUGAAUUUGUGAUCCUCCUGCCUCAGCCUCCCAAGCUGCUGGGAUUACAGGCGUGCGCCACCACAUCUGGCCCUUUUUAUUUUUUAUUGAAGACAGUGUUUUGCUAACUUGCCCAGGCUGGCCUUGAACUUGCGAUCCUGCUGCCUGUGCUGCCUGAUUGGUUGGUAUCAUAGGUGGCAUCAAGGGUUCUUUGAUUAUUUAAUUAUUAAUAUAUAUUAGUUUGAUCAUAUGCCUUAUGAAUAUCUGUCAAGAUAAAUGCUCACUCUGUCACCUGCUUCUUAGAUCUCUAUUGAGUGUGCCAAGCUUGGCACUCAGGCACACACAGCCCCAUGAGGGUCUUUCUAGCUACGCUUCUUCCUUAGGCCAUCCCAUCAGUACUGGUUGAAGCUGUGACUCUCACUGACCCAUCUCUGGAUCCUGAGAGCAGCAGCUCCCAUCCCAGUGGUUCAGGUUCCUGAAACACUAGACAAGGCUGGUUUCCUGUCCUGGCAUGUGGCCUUUGGAUGGGUCACCAUGGGCUGACCCUGUGGGAGGAGGCAGGUGCAGGGCAGAAGAAAUACCCAACAGCAUUAUGAGCAGAAGCCAGGCCAUGUCCUCCCUAGUCAGCUGAAGGGCACUUAGGUUCACAUCUUUUCCAUUCUCCUGUGUUUCAGUUCGUCACCACCAGGCGUAAUCCUCGAGAAGGACUAUGAGGUUUACCGGGAUUAUAGCACGGAUGGCCAGCUGCUUCACUACAGGUAGACCCCUCUACCUCCCCAUAUCCAUCCACUAUCCCGAGAUGGACUCUUGGGUGGGCUGGCCUGGGGCACCUGGAGCAGAGUCUGACUCAGCAGAAAGCCGGGGCAGUGCCCGCCCUAUGGUGGCUUUGGAGGCUGCCAAAAUGGCUUGGUAGCCCCGUCUGGGAAGACUCUUGUCGCUGCCCAGAACAGAUAGCUGUGGGUCCUGGGUGCGGCCUUUGUCCCCCAUUGGAAAAGUAAAGUAUGAAGGUCCCUGGCAUGUGGUUGACGCCUGGGUCACACUGGCUACUCGUGUCAGAGUGCUUUUCAAUCCUAGUCCGGAAGAUCCUGUUAGUCCUGCAGGGGAGUGGGCCUCGGCUCACUGUGCGGAGCUGGAGGACCCUGAGGGCCAGCCCUCUGCCCACUGGUCUUCCAUUGCCUCGUGACUGGUUGGCUGUAGGGUCUCAGGGCCAGGGUCAGUGAUGUCCCUGGAGUGACCUGGCAAUGGUGCUGCAGAGGGUCGAAGGCCUGAGAGCCUAGGCUCCUCCUCAGACAGUGGUCUCUCUCUCAGAUUCGUGUUUGUGGAACAUCAAGAAGGGCCUCGAGCUGCCCUGCCCAUACUGUGACCCAUGACUAUGGCAUGCUCUGUGCUCCUCAGGCUUCAUUCCCCGUCAUAAGAUGAGUCUAGCACUGUGACCCAGCACAUUCCUGGUGGCUGCUCAUCCUCACUGUGGUGAGAUUGAUUUUGGCUCUGGCACAGGCCUAAGCUUCCCCACGACCCCUGCAGCACUUUCCUGGACUGUAUGUAUGCUCUAUAUGGCCAUGUGCCCACCUGGCCUUUGGCUGAGCAUUGUCACAACCCUGCUAUCCCUGGGGAGCCAUUGUCCUUUAAAAGAGCCUGGCAGCAUCCCCAUUGUCACAGUAGGCACCUGCAGAGCCUUCAGUGAGGUGGGUCCCAAAUAGGACAAAGAAGACCCUCUGGGCCUUUCAGGUAUCACAGAGAUGGGUAGCUGUUCCAAUGUUCUCCCACUUGCCAAACCUCUCUGGCAGCUGAGCCGCCCUCAGCCCUAUGGGACCUCCUCUAGCCACAUGAGCUGAUGAGUCUGGUCUUUGCUCUGGGGCUCCUUGCCCCUAGCCCCUCAGCCCUCUGGUGGCCACUGUUCCUGUGCCUGUUGCUCGUCUUGGCAGCCCCCAGCCUCUCACCCUGCUAAUGAUGUUGCCUAUCAGAGACCCCACUCAGACCCCUGGUGUGGUCCACCUGCUGGCUGGACCAUCCAGCACAGGACAAGCAGUUGCAUUUGUAAGUAAAUAAAUAGUGAUUGGAGAAGUAGACCAUCCCCAGUGUUGACCUCUGGGUGAGGUACAUCUGAGACCCACUGGGCUUAGCUGCACAGAGGCAACCAGCAUGUCUGCCUAGGUGGGGCCUGCUCCUGAAACUCUUGAGAGUGCUCUGGCCCUCGGCCAGUGUGGUGCUGCAGCCUGGUGUCAUCUGUGACCUGCUGGGGGCAGUUCAAUGCCAGGCAGCUGAGCCAUCUCCUCCUGCCCCUUCUACCAUUACUGAGACCUUGGGACAGAGACCUGGCGAUAUCUGGAAGACGAAGCAGGUCCACGGGAGGGCUGCCAACAUGUGUGCCAGCAGAUGUUGUAUUCUAUCAGGGAGGUGGAGGGAGGAGGUCAGACCCCCUGCUGAGACGUUCAGGAUCCUUUCUGCUGAGAAUCUGUAUUCUGUGUAUCACCUGAGCAUCACCUGAGCAGACCUGGACUGGCACUCACAGAUCAUAGCCUGCUCAAAAGGGAGAUACACAUGCCCAUGCUGACCCCCCAGUUCACUUGUGCCACAUAGCAUGGGCAGAGCAAGGCUCCUUGGAGGUGACAGCAUCUCCCAGGUGGAGUGUGCCAUGAGGAGACCCAUCCACUCACCCACCUGCCCAGCACCCCGCACGAGGAGGCCUCAAUGCAGACACACUGGAGGCCGGGUGAGCUGCCUGGCUAUGCAGUCAGUCCUGUGUGCCCAUCUGGCCUUGAAGUCCCAGAGCUGGCACUUCUCUCCCAAGCUGUCCCCGGUGGUGCAGAUGGUGUGAUGGGAAGUGGGAUGGAAGGAAUCACAGUCAUAUGAACACAUUAUUGAGAGGAAGCCAGGGUGAUCCACGCUGAGAGAGGUGAAGCUAUGCCGCUGCUGAGCCUGGCGGGAGCAUUCUGGUAUUCCUGCGGCCUGGGACUGCCUGGGACAGCAGGCCUGACCCCAGCACUGAGGCUCAAGGAGUGCCACAUCCUGGCCGCAAGAGUCUUUGUUGGGCCAGGUGUUAGUCUUUGGGAUCCCCGUGCUGGGGCCAGCUGUGGGUUUCUUGGGGAGAACGAAAGUUCCAGAGACAGAGCCCUAUCAGAGCCAACUCAGGCCUGGGGUGGGGACAGUUUGGGGAGAAAGGAAUAGUAGACCUGAGAAAGAUCUAGAAGGUAAAGGAAUGUGGGGGAUCAUGUGAGGGAAUGAAGAUGUGUCCCAUGAGAGCCCCCAAUGGGAUGUGGGGGUGGGCACACUUGGAGCUCAGCCUCCAGAGAGACCUUAGAGCAGCCUGCAGUUGCCUUUGAAGUGAUGCACUUACCAGAGAGAGUAGGAAGAUCAGAAAUAGCACCAGCAACUGAGGAGGCUGAGGCAGGAGGAUCCCAAGUUCAAGGCCAGUCUCAGCAAUUUAGCGAGACCCUGUCUCAAAAGAAAAAAAAGGGCUGGGCUGUGGCUCAGUGGUAUGCCCUUGCCUUGCAUGUGGAAGGCCCUGGGUUCAGUCCCCAGUACAGGUGCCUCAUAUCAGAGGGACAGUACAGGGUCAGCUGGCAGGACUGAGGAGGAGGCACCCCUGAAGCACUAGCGACUCUGUGCGGAGGGGAGGCAAGAAGGGAACUGUCCAGGAGCAGGCUGUGCCACCUCAGAGGUUGUUCAGAGAUCAGGGCCCUCAGCAGGUCAAGGGCCGGGCAGCCCCCAGGUUGUGAGUGAAACCCCUGGCCACCAGCCCAGGCAAGAGGAGCCAACAGAGGUGGGAGCUGCGGAACGGAUGGCCAGAUGGUCACUUUCAGGGAUUGUUUCUCCGUAUGUCGUGCAAGCACAACUCUGUUUGGACUCAGGCUGCAGUUGCUGGCCUGCCCUUGUCCUGCCAGGCCUCUUGCCUCAGCAUGGUAGAGGGAGACAUUCCAGCUUUGGUUCUAGUUCUGGGGUUUGGCUUUGUGCAGGACCUCUCCAUUCUUCCUUUGAAAUAGCCUUUGGGGAAAUUGCCCUGCAGGGCCCGGAACAGAAUGAGUCCUUUGACCCUGGCUAGCCUCCCUUUUGGCAUUUCCAGAGGCGGUGGCUGUGCCAGGGUUUCCUGCUCCCUCACUGUCGAAACCAACCCGUGAGGCAGAGAUAGGGGUCUUUCUGCCCCUGUCUGCUCUCUGGUGCCUUCACCUGUCAGAGCUGUCAUUGGAACCAGGGAGCUGAGGAGAAGGAUGUGCCAGAUAUGGGGACAGUCUGGGUUUAGGAGGAGGGAAUGUGGGGGGAAGGCAGACGCACCCGAGAGGAAGCCUGACAGGACUGCAGGCAACAGAGCCAUCAGAGCCAGUGGCUCCUGGGACAGAGGCAGCAUCACAGUUGUCAGGGCCUGCAAACUACCAUGUGAGGCUAGGACUGUGGAGAGCAAAGUGGUGGAGUGGGCUGCAGAGGGGCCCAGCCCUUGUGGUGAGCUUGGAGCUGCCUAUACAGCAGAUGGGGAACCAGGAAGUGGGCAGGGUGAGAGAGCUCUCAGAUCAGAAGGUAUGCUGGACACCCAUGGGGUGGCCUUCACUUGGCUGCUGCUUCAUCUUAGGUGCACUUCCAAGAAAGGCUUCACUCUCUGAGCCAUGGUACCUGUGACCAGGCUCCCCCGAAGGCUUUGGCCUCCUCUGAGAACCAAACGAGACUUUGUGCAGGUGCCCAGGACACACGCAGCCUUGGGGGACCACCUGCGGCCACCUCCCUAGUUCUCUCCCACCUCUGCCCUGCCUGGACAGAACCAACUGCAGUGGCUGAAAUAGAGGGCAUUCCUGACCAGCAGGCUUUUCUGCCUCUCCUGACACUUGCUUCUGCCUCAGCAAACAGGAGCAGAAACUCCAGGAAUGGGGGCCUCCUCACCCAGGCCAUGAGGAGCAUGGCCUGCAGCAUGGCUAUUCUGAGUGGUCUCACACCUGUCACUCUGGAGUAGUCCCAGCCCCACAUCACCUGUCCCAGGGAAUGAGGCAUCAAGGCCUUGUCCAGAUUUGCCUCAUAUCAGAGGGACAGAACCUAGAGAUCAGACUCACAGCUGGGUCACAGAGAUGCUCUGGGCUUUUCUUUGCCGACCUCAGACCCACGUUCGCCCACUGACAGCUGGAGAAGCUAACAGAAUACACAGAACCACUCUGAAGUCCUCAGAGAUGUACUAAGUGGUGAGGUCUGGAGACUGCUCCUUCUCAAGCAGUCCCCAGGGCUGAGAAGCUAAGCAGACCCUUGGAGCUUCCUCUAGUUAACAUCCAACGAGUCCCUGCUUUUUCCUUGACUCCUCAAGGGCCUCAGAAAGAGGAGGAGGGUGAGCCAUGAGCAGGCUGCCCUCAGCAUGAGCCCAGCCCCAGUCAGCUGGGCCCCACCCUCCUCAAGGAGAUGCCCUCCUAACACCUGCCAGAAACUAAAGUAAGCCCAGAGCUCAGAUUGCCAUGAUGGCUUUUCAUGAACAACAACCAGAAUUUCAGUCUAAAAUACCAGAGUUGAUCAGAAACAGAAACAGAUCUACCUUUUGGGAUUACCCGAAAGUUACUUUAAUAAAUAUCCAAUGUGAAAGAUACUAAAUGGAAAUUUUUUUAUCUUUAUUUAUCUAUUCAUUUUUUUUAUAUGGUGCUGAGGAUCGAACCCAGCACCUCGAAUAUGCUAGGCAAGCGCUCUACCACUGAGCCCCAGCCCCCUAAAUGGAAAUUUAAAAGAUUCAAAUGUGUUUUCUAGAGCUGAAAAACAAAAACCAGGAACACAAUAGAUGGUGCUAAGGUGUAAAUGUGUGUCCCCUUGUUGAGAUGGGCAAAGUUGCCACUUAUGCAGUCGAGAGGGAGAAAUAAAGAAUGUCCAUGUGCUUCUGCCCUUUUCAAUGUUUUGUUCACUCAAAUCACUCAAUACAAUUUCACUCUAUAGGUUUUUAAUCAAGAAAAUGAUGGUCCUUGAUGCUGGGCACUGCAAUAUUCAUAAUCACUUAACAACAAAUAAUUCUAAGUUAACUCUAAGCACUGCAAACACACCUAAUCAUGACCUAGUUAUUACAGACAUUCCCUCUGCAUGCUAAACUCAAGUGCCAGGUCUAGAGUCUCACGUCUUAGGCUUUUAAGUCCAGCAGAUGCAGUCACUCAGACCGCAGUGAUCAGAUCAGGAACCGAUGGAGGCUCCUGGUGUGGAGUUGGUGGCCAGUUGAGGGGAGCGUAAUAGGGAGAUGUCACCAUUCUCACCAGAGCAAAAAGCUAUAGAGUUUGAGAGAGGUGAGGAAGAUGCAGGGGAUCAGGCAAACGAUGAGAAGAGUGGGGAUGUUAGCCCAGGUCCUCAUCAGGCUUUCCGGCAUGUGGGCAUCAGUGUCAGCUGGCUGAAUGUUCAUUUGCUCCAUCAUUUAUACUAAAUUUUGGGGCUCCUUUCGGUCCCUGUCAGCUGUUACCAAGUUUCUUAGUGACAUCUUACAUUUUAGAGUCAGGACAUAUGGUUUGGUGAUUUUCCACCCUGAUCUUCUUAUACCUCUGACUCUUAUCAAGGUGAAGGCAAAUGAUAUGUGACUUCACCCUGACUCUUACCAGGGUUGUGGAAAGUGACUUGUCUUUAUCAGGCUAUGCCUAAUUGACAUAUCGGAGGGAUCUGUAGGCUGUGCCUGGUGGGAUUGCAGGUCUGUUUUAAAAUAUAGUUGCUUAGGCUAAGGCCAUACUUACAGUCAGGCUAAGGCCACCCUUACACCCCCCCCCCGCCCAAAUUCCUUUGUUGAAUAGCUUGAGGAGAUGGGGUCUAUGGGCAUAAAUGAAGGAAUUCAUACUUGUGACAGAGGAGGGCACUGUCCUUAGGAGGCCCCAGUGGGUCACUGUGGCACCUGCCUAUAAUCCCAGUACUCAGGAGGCCGAGGCAGGAGAAUCAAAAGUCCAAAGCCUGCCUAGGCAAUUUAUUGAGACUAUCCCAAAAUAAAAAAUGAAAAGGGUCUCGCACACAUCCCGCAUGAGUGAGGGAAAGGGUUCCCCUCCAGAGGGAUGGGCUGACUGAGAAAUAAAAGCUAAGAAAACAGUAGUAUGAAAUAAACACAGGACACAGAAAUAUAGUUUCAGAGCGGGGGCAGCAACAGGCCAAGCUGAACAUAGGGUUACGGCUUCUAGCAGAGAUGGAGCCUGCAUUUGCUUUAUUUAUAGCAGUACAGAUCAAAGGGGAUUGGGAGGAGUCUUGUCUGGUGCUUGCUUCUUCACGAAAAACAAGACGUGGUGCGGGUAGGCAGGCUGUUUGGCUCUUAACCACAGUCGUGACCUUCUCCUGGGUUGUGUGCAACCUUUUGGCAGAGCUGGGUGGGAGUUCACAUGUAUCAGACCAUCUCACCCGCAGGAGCGCCAGUGCAAGUUCCCAGACACCCGACCUUCCCACUCAGUAGCUUCAGUGCUGAUGUAGUCCACGCACAUUUCACGGAUGGCUUCCUGCAAAAAGGACUGUACCUCAGUGGAGGAGUACCCCUGGAUUUAAUCCCCGAUACCAUCACCACAACAACAAAAAGUAAAAGGUCAAAGAGAGCUCGAACCUCCCCUGGGUGAGAACACACAGCCAGGCAUCACCUGUGAAACAGGGAGGAGUCCUUAUCAGAUACUGGAUCUGUCUGUGCCAUGACUGGGUACUUCCAGCUCCAGAACUAAGUAAAUAUCUUGUUUUUAAACCACUCAGUCCAUGGAAUUUUGUUAUAGCAGUAUGAAUGGAUCAAAACAAUGGAUUUUAAAUUAGAUUAAACAUAGCUGAGAGGAGAAUUAGUAAAUUGGAAGACAGAUCAGAAGAAAAUAUCAAUUCUGAAGUAUAGAGAAGCCCGGGAUGGGAAAUACAGAACCCAGCAUGAAAACCACAGGAUGCAGGGUGAAAAGGAUUGUAAUUGAAUUCCCAAACUAGAAGAAAUAUAAUAAACAUAAUAUUUGAAAAGAUAAUGGUCAGGAUUUUACCAAAACUCAUAGAAGAUGUUGAGCCACAGAUUUAAGAAGUGCUACCCCUAAGUAUCCUGGGGUAGAGAGUGUGAAGGAGGGACGUGUUCUGCCCCCCAUCAUCUCUCCCCAGCAGUGUCCUGGGUCUGGCCCCUAGCUACAGCUGGUACCACCAUGGAUUCAGGACCUGUGCCAACCUUGGGCUCACAGCAGGCAGAGCAUGCAAAGACAUCAAGUCCACCAGCAGUACAGCACUGGGGCAGAGAGCAAAUGAAGCUAAGAGACCAAAUGUCCAGCAUGAACCCGCUGGGGGAGGGGCCAGGAUGUAAGCAGUAUAACUCCCAGGAGGCUGUGGGUACCCUUGGCCUAAUGCAGGCAUUAGUGGGUAGGUGGGGUAAAGGGAGGAUUCAUAGGAGCCUCUGGUGAGAAAUGGGGUCUUGAGUUGCUGGCAUAGUGUGCUGGUCUCACCUGGGACACUGGUGAACACCCCUAUACCCCCACACACACACACACACACCAACUGUGUGCUCAGUUGAGUGGUCCCUGGGAAGGCCCCUUUCUUUCUCAUGAUAGCUGCAAAUCUGUGCCUGGUGUUGGGCGGGUGUAGAGCAAUAUGGGCAGGAGAGCUCCUGGGAAAGAGUGCCACAGGGUUCAUAGGGAGCACCGCCUUGAUCAGGGAGGAUGCUGUGGGACCACCAUGCCAAGUAGUGAGAUGGGGCUAGCCUUCUCCACUGCUUCCCUGCAGGACCUCCUCACUUCGGUGGAACUCAGGCACCAAGGAGCGCAUGCUCAUCAAGGUCGCUGACAGGGAGCCCAGCUUCCUCACUCCUCAGGGCAAUGGCUACUCUUCAGAUGGCCAGCCUGGGAGCCGCCCCCGCAGACCCUCUGGCAGCCAGCAUUCGCCCAACCUACAGACAUUCACCCAGGACUCGGAAGGCGCUGUCUUCUUCCCUGAGAGGCGACCUUCGCCCUUCCUGAGAAGGGCUGAACUCUCCGGGAGCUGCUCCCCACUGCUCACGCAGCCUCGAAAGUCCUCCAGUGACUCACAGCCCUCUUCCCCACGCUAUGGCUAUGAGCCCCCUCUCUAUGAGGAGCCCCCUAUGGAGUAUCAGGCCCCCAUCUAUGAUGAGCCCCCCAUGGACGUACAGUUCGAGGCUGGUGGCCCCUACCAGGCUGGCUCCCCACAGAGGUCGCCCAGCCGCAAGCCCCGCCCCUUCUUGCCCGGGGCCAAGCAGGCCCCUGCCUCCCCCUGCCAGCAGCUGGUGCGCACUAAACAGAAGUGCCCUGAGCGCUUCCUGAGCCUGGAGUACAGUCCUGCAGGCAAAGAGUAUGUAAGGCAGCUGGUGUACGUGGAGCAGGCCGGCUCUAGCCCCAAGCUGCAUGCAGGCCCCCGGCACAAAUAUGCUCCCAACCCUGGUGGUGGCUCCUACUCACUGCAGCCCAGCCCUUGCCUGCUGAGGGACCAACGCCUAGGGAUCAGGUCUGGAGACUACAGCACCAUGGAGGGACCCGAGCCCCGGCUGAGCCAACCACCCACACCACUGCCCCCAGCCCAGGAGGACACCAUGUCUUGGUCCAGCCAGCAGGACACCAUGUCUUCCACGGGCUACUCCCCAGGCACACGUAAGAGGAAGAGCAGAAAGCCCUCUCUGUGCCAAACUCCUGGCGCCCCCUCCACGGAUGGCCCAGGGGACCUACUGGGUGAGCAGCCUCUGGCUGAGGAGCGCUCUCCAUGUGGGCCCAGCCUUGCCCAGAUGAAGCGUGCAGAGGCUGAAGUGGACGUAGCACGGGGUAUGGCCGAGCCUUUCCUGGCACAGGCGCAGCUGGCCUGGGAGGCACAGCAGGCCCACUUUCACAUGAAGCAGAGGGGCAGCUGGGACUCCCAGCAGGAUGGCUCUGGCUACGAGAGUGAUGGUGCUGUGCCACUACCCAUGCCCGGACCUGUGGUACGUGCCUUCAGUGAGGAUGAGGCACUGGCGCAGCAGGAUAGCAAGCAUUGGAAGCGGAAUACUUUCGAGAAGCUCGGCUUCCCCCAGAUCCUGCUGGAGAAGAGCGUCUCUGUGCAGACCAACUUGGCCUCACCAGAACCUUACCUCCACCCCUCACAGGUGAGGAGUACUUGGUGGGCAGAUGGGGACCCUGGGCCCAUAAGACCCCCAAGUCCCAGCCUAGAGCCUGGGAUCAGCUGCAGGCAGAAUGGGGCUGGGUGCACCUGGCAUCCACAAGGUGUGUGUGGCACUGAGCGUGUUCAGAGCCUGGCCUCUGAACGUCCAGCACACCACUGGCAGGGAGGGCAUCUUCACGGAACACCCCACUCAGGCCACCCACCACCAGGCAUAGGGCUUCCUGGACCUUGGCCACCAGGGAGUUUCAAGCCUUGCCUACGGGACACAGCAGCUGAGGGCAACUGGCAGCCAGCUCUGGGACUAUUGUACUCCUGGGGAGCUGGGCAGGUGGGGCAUCAGCAUUCUUUGGUGGCUCUGGAACUAUCUCCAAGCACGUCUCCCUCAGGCAGGAAGAGCUGCUAGUGAGGUAGUGACUGGGUGGUUGCCAGACAUCACAGCCAGAGCUGGAGCCCAAGCCCAAGCCCAAGCCCAGCCUGCUGUGUCCUCCCCAUACAGUGCCAGAGCACACAUCAGUCAGUGCCCCACAGAGCCCACGAGUACCUCUGUUCAGCAGCAGGUACCUGAGUGUCCACCUGCAGGUCUUCCCUUCUGGAGAUCACCAGGCAAUUCAGAUUUGAUGGCUCUAAUGUCCUCAUUCCCACUUCUAGCUUCCACCUUUCACACUGGUUGACUAGAGACACAGGCCAAGCCUGAGGGUGACCUGGAAUCUGGUUGGUUUGCUUAGUGGGCCCAGGUUCCAAGGAAGUUAAAGUGAAAAUCUUAAGGCCUCCUGGACAUGUAUGGCAGGCCCACCUUUGCCCUGCUGGGGAAGGCCUCUGUGACCUGUGGGUAGCCAGCUUCCCAGGCCCUUCAGGCUAGUGAGCUCAGAGCCACAUCCAGCCAGACUUUCCAUCCACUGCUCAUAAACUGGUAGGAUGACAGGGCAGAUGGGAGAGGCAACCUUGGGAAACAGUGAGCAGACAGAAAGCUACCUCUAAUGGAAUGGGCAGGUCAAGAGCAGAGCAGAGGGAGAGACCUGCAGAGGCCAGGCCCACUGGGGUCCUGCAGAGAUGGGAGCAGGGCUCGAGAGCCACCCCUGCCUGUCCCUGCCCUCUCUCCCUGGGUACCUGACAGUGCAGCUGUCCUGCUGCCACCCCACCUGGGGUUUUGAAGCUCAGCUUCUUGCUAUGUUAGACUGGCCACGCCACACCUGGCUGGCUCACACCUCUUGGGACUGUGAUCCAAGUGGGCCCAGCUGCCCACUCCAUCCCUACCCCCGAUGGCACAGCCCAUUUGUCCUUCCCAGUCUGAGGACUUAGGAGCCUGUGCCCAGUUUGAGAGCAGCCGGCAGAACCGUAGCGCGAUGCCCAGCUCCAGCUGUGUCUUCCCCACCUUCACGCUGCGCAAGCCCUCCUCAGAGACGGACAUCGAGAACUGGGCCUCCAAGCACUUCAACAAGCACACCCAGGGCCUCUUUCGACGGAAGGUGUCCAUCGCCAACAUGCUGGCCUGGAGCAGUGAGUCCAUCAAGAAGCCCAUGAUUGUGACCAACGACCGGCAUGUGAAGAAAGAGGCCUGUGAGAUCUUCAAGCUGAUCCAGAUGUACAUGGGCGACCGGCGGGCCAAGGCAGACCCACUGCAUGUGGCCCUCGAGAUUGCCACUAAAGGCUGGAGCGUGCAGGGCCUCCGGGAUGAGCUCUACAUCCAGCUGUGCAGGCAGACCACCGAGAACUUCCGCCUCGAGAGCCUGGCCCGUGGCUGGGAGCUCAUGGCCAUCUGCCUGGCCUUCUUCCCGCCCACACCCAAGUUCCACUCCUACCUAGAGGGAUACAUCUACCGGCACAUGGACCCUGUCAAUGACACCAAAGGUAAGACCCAGUGUGCAGGACCCUUGGCACCCCUAGGGUCUGCUGCAACUGAGGUAAGGGCUGUGGAGAGGGCUCCCAGCCAUUCUGGGCAACACCCGCCCAGUCCCCUAUCCUCACACCCCACCAGACCUGGCACCACAUAGGAGUGGUACUUCUAAGAAGAUGCAUGUCCCCUAGGAGACCCCACACCCAGCUUUCAGUGGUUUGUGGGCAUCCUCAGGGAACCCUACCUUGGCUCUGAGAAGAGCCCUAGGCAGCCCUGGCAGAUGAGGGCAUAUGGCCUGCCCUUUGAUGCCUGCCCAGUUUGGCUUCUGUCACCCUGCAGUAUAAGGGCAGCUGCACCGUGAGGCUUAAGCUGUGUAUUCUAGGCAGGGAGGGGCAUGGUGGCCACAGUGCAUCUGCCACAACUCAAUCACAGGCUUCCCACACACAAGUCUGUGGAGAUCAGCUGGUCUCCAGGGCACUAUGAGCUGAGCUGCCCUGAGGGCCAGAGGUUCAGGCCAGCACAGGUGUCCACUUGCUGAUGGCUGCCAGGUGUCAAAUAGAAGGCCCCCAGAUGGGAUGCACUAGGUCUGUCGGGCCCAGGCCGUGGUGUUUCAGCUGGGCAGUCCCCAUGUGAUAAACUAGUGGCUGGCCCAAGCCCUGGGAUGGACAGAGUGGGCAUGGGGCAAGGAUACAGGCAGUCCCAGCUGUAGCAGGCUGUGUCCCACAUGAUGCUCGUGAGCAUCUGUAGGACACAGCCGUAGCAUUGACGGCCAGACACGCAUACUUGUGUUCAGGUACACGUACAUGUACAGAUGCAUCCCUGCCAGGGCGGACAUGUUAGCUCUUCUGGGUUGUCCAGCCUCUGCUGAGGUGGAAACUGUGCUCCCUUCUAGGCCUUGCCCCCAGCUCAGGCAUGGGAAAGGCAGCUCUCAGGCUGCCAUGGGGCCCUCAGUGUGCAUGCAAACUUGAGGGAGGGGGUUCUGGAGAAGGUAUGUCAGGCACAGGAACCACCAGCUCCUCAGACACUUGUAAACAGUUUUGGAAAACAUGCUAUUCCUGCCCAUGUGUGCACCUGCAACACACAUUGCAGCAGAUACAGACUGACCUGGGGCCUGGACUGCACUGGGGCCUCAGGGACCCCAUUCCUUGAUCUUCUUGGACCUCUCUAGGCACUGGUAUAGUCCUGGGGCUUCCUAGGUCACCAUCUUGCCUUCUUGAGAAAGGGCCUUGACAUGCACCUUGACAUGGGAGCUGUAGGAAUGUGUCUGCACUGCUCAGGACAGCACUGGGCCCACAGAUCCGAGAGCCUGCUGAGUGAAAACCAAGUGAGUGGGCAGUAGUUGGCAAACAGUCAGAGGCCUGGGUUCCUUGCUCUGCCUGGGCCAGCUGACCAGCAAGUAUGUGGCUGGGCCGUCCCGCCAUCCAGGGCUUCCCAGAAGAGUUUGUGCUUUAGGCCCCAUGGAGGAGCCCCCAGGAUCUCCCACAUACAAAGGUACGCAUACUUUUCUCUUAGAGUCGCACACCCACAGGGCCCUGUGUUGCACGUCAGAGGGAAGCAGGCUCAGCUUUGAGGCUCCUAUGUAAGGCCCACAAGGUCUCAGAGGACCAUGUGGGCUACAGGGGGAUGGGCUCUGUGUGGUUCUGCUAGCAUUCAAACUGCCCUCACAGCCAAAACCCCAUCUCUAGUACUGGGGACCCCAACCUAGAUUUGCCUGUCCAAGGUUGUACUCCACCCUGAGCCCAGAGAAGAGACUUCUACACACAAGGUGGCCGCCCCUUCUUCAAUAGGCCUCAUGUUCACUCCAGACAGCGCACAGUCCCUGGGAGAUGCCAGUUUCCACAUGUAAGAAAUAUUGGUCAAAAAUGUGGUACUGCUGGGGGUGGUAGUGACACCUAUAAUUCCAGCUACUUAGGUGGCUGAGGCAGGAGAAUCACAAGUUCAAAGCCAGACUCAAUAACUUACUGAGACCCUGUCUCAAAAUAAAAUAAAAAAGGUUGGAAUUGUAGCUCAGUGUAGUAGUGUGUCCCUGGGUUCUAUCGUAGUACUGAGAAUAAAAAUAAAGAAAGAACAUGGGUCCUGGCUGCCUUAUCAGCCCAGAAAGAUGUAGACCAUGCUCUGGAAGACCAACCAGUUGACCACAUAGCACCUAGAAGAAUGAGACCACAGCAGAGGGACCCAUGAUGAGGGAAGUGCUCGGCUUGGCUCCUGGACCUGGCACUGGCCCUGGCCCCGGCCCCGGCCCCGAACCCGAACCACUUGCCUUGGCCUCAGGAAACUUGAUCAACUUGUUUAUCAGCAUUCGUGUGACCUCCACUCUGUGAUCACCAUCCCAGGACCAAGGUACUAUGAGGUAACCCCCAUUUAACCUGUGUCAGGCACUAGGAGGUUCUCCUGGUUGUCCUCAGGAGCCCCUCAGUUAGACUAACCCAGAUGGGGAGGGUGCUUGGCCCUGGAUCAGGAAGCUACAGGAGCCAGGUGUGUGGAACACACCUGUGGUCCCAGCAACCUGGGAAGCUGAGGCAGGAGGAAGGACUAGGCAGGUGGCUCAGUGGUGAAACACCCCUGAUUCAAUUUCCAGUACCCCGCCCCCCAUAAAAAAAAAAUAAGAAAAAGAAAUUGCGGGAGAAGUCCUGCAAAUGCCAUGGGAGACUGAAGCCUGGAGGGAUUCUAGUGCUGCCGAAGCUUGUGCUCUCGGUGAGACUUCUGGCAAAGCACAACAGGAAGUUAGCAAAAGGGCGGAGAUGAUGAAGAUGGUAGUAGAAACCAACACAAGGGAACACAGAACAGUGGCUGAUGAAACAAAAAACUGAUUCUUGGGUAAAUCUACAGCCAAACUGACAAGGACAAAAUGAGAGAAGAAAUGAAUCACCAAAACCAAGAGUGAGAGGUCCUGCCACUGCAGGCCCUGCAGGUGCUGAAGGGGUAGCAAUCAGGUAUAGUGAACCUUUUGCUAAGGAAUUCAAAAUGGACAGAUUCCUCAGGUGACCCAGGCUGCCAGAGGUCACUCAAAGAGAAACAGAAAAGUUAUAUGUCCAGUAAGGAGAUUGCAUUUGUACCUAAAAAUCCAGGCCUAAAUGGCUUCACUGGUGAAUUCUACCAAACACUUUAUUGUUUGUGCAGCAAUUCUGUGGAAUGUCUCCCAGAAAAAUGAAGUGGAGGGCUGGGGUUGUGGCUCAGAGGUACAGCACUCACCUAGCAUGUGUGAGGCACUGGGUUCCAUCUUCAGCACCACAUAAAAAAGAUAUUGUGUCCACCUAUAACUAAAACAUAAAUAUUAAAAAAAAAUGAAGUAGAGAGAAUGUUUCCUGAUUCACUCAUGCUAAAAUUAGAGAAGAACAUUAUAAGAAAGAAUCCCUCAUGAACAAGGAAACAAAAAUUUUAGCAAUAUUUUAUCAGGUUGAGUACAACAGUAUAUAAAGGAGAUAAUAUAUCUUGACCAAGUGAAGUUUAUCCUAGGAAUCGAGGAACGAAAGAUAGGUUUAGCCAGGGGUAGUGGCAUACACUGUCAUUUCAGUGACUCAGGAGAAUCUCACAUUCAAGGUCAGUCUCAGCAAUUUAGCAAGGCUCUGUCUCAAAAUAAAAAAUAAAAAGGACUGGGAAUAUACCUCAGUGGUAGAGCACCUCUGGGUUCAAGGUUCAAGCCCCAGUAUGGGGGGAGGGGAGCAAUCAAUGGAAAAUGGAAACCAUUUUAACAAAGUAAAAAAGAGUAUAUCAUCUCAUAAAAUCCAACAUUCCAUUCUUGAUCAAAACUGAACAAACUUAGAAGAUAAUCUCUUCACCCUGAUUAAAGGCAUCUAUUAAAAACCUACAUGGGCCAGGGUGUGUGGCUCAGUGAUGGAGUUCUUGCCUAGCAUGAGAGAGGCCCUGGCUCACUCCUCAGCAACUCAAAACCAAAAAAACAACUACAGUACCCAAAGGGAUUUAAAGAAGGUUUCAGACACACUUGCACAUGUUCACAGCAGCACUGUUCACAGCAGCCAGUAGGUGGAAGUGGUCCAGGGUCCACCCACUGAGGAAUGGUGAGCACAUGUGGCAGAGCCAUGCAGAGGACAUCAUUCACCCGAAGAAGAAUGACACUCGAUAGGUGCUGCAGCAUGAGUGGACUUAAAACACGUCGAAGAUAAGAGCCAGACCCACAGUGGCAAACCUGGUAUGCUACCACUUACCUAUAACUGGAACAGACAAACUGAUACAGAAAGCAAGGUCAGGCAGAGUGAGAGGAGAGAGAGAUUGCUUAAUAGGUAUUGAGAUUUAGCUUUGGAAGAUGAAAGGGUUUUGGAAAUUUGGUGACAGUUGCAUAGCAUUGUGAAUGUAGUUAAUGCCACUGAAUGGUACUUAAAAAAUGGUUCAGUGGCCAAACUUAUGUUUAUAUUUUAUCACAAUUUAAACACACACACACACACACACACACACACCCCUCAUACUUACUAGCCAAAGACUGAAUGCUUUCCCCUAACAAGAGGAGCAGAGCUCGGACCUUCAGUUAUACCCGCUGUGCACAGCAUCACACUGGAAGUUGAAGCUGGAUCUCAAUCAUGAUAAGAGAUAAAAGUCACACACCUUGGAGAGGAGGUAUGCAGUGGUUUUUAUUCACAGACAGUAUGAUCUGCAGAAUACUACUGGAAGAGUAUUCUAUAUACUGAAUUUAUUACAAGAUACAGGACCAAUACAUUAAAAUUUUAUCAAUUUGUAUAUACUAGCAACAAGCUAUAGGAAACUGAUAUUUUAAAAAUACCAUUUACAGUAGCAUUGACAAGUAUGAUAUACUGAGAGAACUCUAACAAAAGAUGUGUAAGACCUCUAUGCUGAAAAGUACAAAACAUUACUGAAAGAAAUAAAUAAAUGGUGAAACAUACCAUGUUUAUGGAUCUGAAACUCAGUGUUGUUAAGACGUCAUUUCCAUCCAAAUUGAUCUAUAGAUUCAACCCUAAUCAAAAUUUAAUUUUUGAUUUUUUUAAUUUUAGAAAGUGACAUGCUGAACUGGGGGCAGUGGUACAUAACUAUCACCCCAGCUGCUUGGGAGGCUGAGGCAGGAGGAUUGAAAGUUUGAGCCCAGCUUGAGCAACUUAGCAAGACCCUGUGGGGAUGUAGCUCAGUGAUAAAGCAACCCUGGAUUCAAUCUCUGGUGCAACAAUAACAACAAAAAGACUGAUUCUAAAGUUCAUGGG